UCUUUUUAAUGAUAGGCCACUGUUUUGACCUGCUGUGUGGUGAGGCCUUUUCCCCUGUGAAGCCUUCACCUGAACUAUGGUGUGAUUCUCUCCCGAGCAGGAAGUUUGCCCCUCGCUGUUCUGUUUGUACCAAGCCCAUCAUGCCUGAUGCAGGGCAGGAGGAGACAGUCAGGAUUGUCGCCCUCGAUCGCAGCUUCCAUGUGAAUUGCUACAAGUGUGAGGAUUGUGGCUUCAUCCUGUCGUCAGAAGGUGAGGGCUGUGGCUGCUAUCCGUUGGACGGUCACAUCCUGUGCAAGAACUGCAGCUCACGGCGCAUUCAGGAACUCUCGGCGAAAAUUACCACCGACUGCUGACAGCCCUGCUCGGCAUCCGCGUCUCUCCGCAGG